rnacentral:rRNA from 1 species
GAUGAACGCUGGCGGCGUGCCUAAUACAUGCAAGUCGAGCGAACAGACGAGGAGCUUGCUCCUCUGACGUUAGCGGCGGACGGGUGAGUAACACGUGGAUAACCUACCUAUAAGACUGGGAUAACUUCGGGAAACCGGAGCUAAUACCGGAUAAUAUAUUGAACCGCAUGGUUCAAUAGUGAAAUACGGUUUUGCUGUCACUUAUAGAUGUAUCCGCGCCUCAUUAGCUAGUUGGUAAGGUAACGGCUUACCAAGGCGACGAUGCGUAGCCGACCUGAGAGGGUGAUCGGCCACACUGGAACUGAGACACGGUCCAGACUCCUACGGGAGGCAGCAGUAGGGAAUCUUCCGCAAUGGGCGAAAGCCUGACGGAGCAACGCCGCGUGAGUGAUGAAGGUCUUCGGAUCGUAAAACUCUGUUAUUAGGGAAGAACAAAUGUGUAAGUAACUAUGCACGUCUUGACGGUACCUAAUCAGAAAGCCACGGCUAACUACGUG